UACGUAGGGGGCGAGCGUUGUCCGGAUUCAUUGGGCGUAAAGAGCUCGUAGGCGGCUUGGCAAGUCGGGUGUGAAAACUUCAGGCUCAACCUGGAGCGGCCACUCGAUACUGCCAUGGCUAGAGUCCGGUAGGGGACCACGGAAUUCCUGGUGUAGCGGUGAAAUGCGCAGAUAUCAGGAGGAACACCGGUGGCGAAGGCGGUGGUCUGGGCCGGAACUGACGCUGAGGAGCGAAAGCGUGGGGAGCGAACAGG
rnacentral:rRNA from 1 species